AGGAUGAACGCUGGCGGCGUGCUUAACACAUGCAAGUCGAACGAUGAUGCCUACUUGUGGGUGGAUUAGUGGCGAACGGGUGAGUAACACGUGAGUAACCUGCCCUUGACUCUGGGAUAAGCCUGGGAAACCGGGUCUAAUACUGGAUACGACCUUCCCGCGCAUGCGGUGUUGGUGGAAAGCUUUAUUGUGGUUUUGGAUGGACUCGCGGCCUAUCAGCUUGUUGGUGGGGUAAUGGCCUACCAAGGCGACGACGGGUAGCCGGCCUGAGAGGGUGACCGGCCACACUGGGACUGAGACACGGCCCAGACUCCUACGGGAGGCAGCAGUGGGGAAUAUUGCACAAUGGGCGCAAGCCUGAUGCAGCGACGCCGCGUGAGGGAUGAAGGCCUUACGGGUUGUAAACCUCUUUCAGUUAGGAAGUAAGCGAAAGUGACGGUACCUGCAGAAGAAGCGCCGGCUAACUACGUGACCAGCGAGCCGC
rnacentral:rRNA from 1 species